rnacentral:rRNA from 1 species
UUCCGGUUGAUCCUGCCGGAGGUCACUGCUAUUGGGAUUCGAUUAAGCCAUGCGAGUCGAGAGGGUUCGGCCCUCGGCAGACGGCUCAGUAACACGCGGAUAAUCUGCCCUUAGGUGGAGGAUAACCUCGGGAAACUGAGAAUAAUACUCCAUAGAUCUAGGAUGCUGGAAUGCACUUAGAUUGAAAGUUCCGACGCCUAAGGAUGAGUCUGUGGACUAUCAGGUAGUAGUCAGGGUAAAGGCCUGACUGGCCUACGACGGAUACGGGUUGUGAGAGCAAUAACCCGGAGACGAUAUCUGAGACACGAUAUCGGGCCCUACGGGGCGCAGCAGGCGCGAAACCUUCACAAUGUGCGAAAGCACGAUGAGGGAAUCCCAAGUGCUUGCUCGUAAGAGUAAGCUGUUUUUAUGUCUAAAAAGCAUAGAGAGUAAGGGCUGGGUAAGACGGGUGCCAGCCGCCGCGGUAAUACCUGCAGCUCAAGUGGUGACCACUAUUAUUGGGCCUAAAACGUUCGUAGCCGGUUUGGUAAAUGCCUGGGUAAAUCGUGUAGCUUAACUAUACGAAUUCCGGGUAGACUGCCAAACUUGAGACCGGGAGAAGCUAAAGGUACUCCUGGGGUAGAGGUGAAAUUCUGUAAUCCUGGGGGGACCACCAGUGGCGAAGGCGUCUAGCUAGAACGGGUCUGACGGUGAGGAACGAAGCCCUGGGGCGCAAACCGGAUUAGAUACCCGGGUAGUCCAGGGUGUAAACGCUGCUUGCUUGAUGUUAGUUGGGCUCCGAGCCCAAUUAGUGUCGGAGAGAAGUUGUUAAGCAAGCUGCCUGGGAAGUACGAUCGCAAGAUUGAAACUUAAAGGAAUUGGCGGGGGAGCACAGCAACGGGUGGAGCGUGCGGUUUAAUUGGAUUCAACGCCGGA